ensembl:lncRNA
AUAUGAUAUAUAUUUGAGAAACAUAAUUAUUCUAAACUUUUUAAUUUAUCUUAUAGAUUGCUUCUAUCACACCUUCUAGUUACUUAUAAUAGGCUACAGUUUCCCAUCAGAUGUCUACUAGUCUCCUUGGAAUGUCCAUUCACUUCAACUGCUCGUAUUUUGAUUGGGUCUUUUAUUUUGCACAACUACUGGGCGAAUGGAGCCACCUUGUUAUAGAAUCUGGUCUUCACACUUUCAGCGACGAAAUGGAGUUCGCUUUGCAUAGAGUUCCCCAAACUUAUAUUCUGAAUGCUUCCCGAAU